rnacentral:rRNA from 1 species
AUUGAACGCUGGCGGCAUGCUUUACACAUGCAAGUCGAACGGUAACAGGCCUUCGGGUGCUGACGAGUGGCGAACGGGUGCGUAAUGCAUCGGAACGUGCCCAGAGGUGGGGGAUAACGCAGCGAAAGCUGUGCUAAUACCGCAUGUGAUCUGAGGAUGAAAGCGGGGGACCAGGCAGCAAUGUUUGGCCUCGCGCCUUUGGAGCGGCCGAUGUCAGAUUAGGUAGUUGGUGGGGUAAAGGCCUACCAAGCCGACGAUCUGUAGCUGGUCUGAGAGGACGACCAGCCACACUGGGACUGAGACACGGCCCAGACUCCUACGGGAGGCAGCAGUGGGGAAUUUUGGACAAAGGGCGCAAGCCUGAUCCAGCAAUGCCGCGUGCGGGAAGAAGGCCUUCGGGUUGUAAACCGCUUUUGUACGGAACGAAAAGGCUCUGGCUAAUACCUGGGGCUGAUGACGGUACCGUAAGAAUAAGCACCGGCUAACUACGUG